rnacentral:lncRNA from 1 species
GACUUUGUUUUUUUGGAGGUUUUGAAAAUCAAAAUCAGAGCUGGAGGCUUGUUUGCCCUCUUUUUGUCCAGCUUCUGUGGUCUGAUUCUCGCCCGAUAACGCUUCUUUAAUUUUAGAAUUGGGAUCAUAGAUGGAAUCACCUUGUUCUUGAGUCUUCUCUAAUACAGCACGUGAUUGUUUUUGUUGGUCCGCUUGAUUGUGAAUUCGCAAGGCC